rnacentral:ncRNA from 1 species
CAUUUAUUAGAUAAAAGGUUGAUGUGGGCUCUGCGUGUUUCCGCGAUGAUUCAUGAUAACUCGACGGAUCGCACGGCCCUCGUGCCGGUGACGCAUCAUUCAAAUUUUUUCCCUAUCAAUUUUCGAUGGUAGGAUACUGGCCUACCAUGGUGGUGACUGGUGACGGAUAAUUAAGGUUCGAUUCCGGAGAGGGAUCCUGAGAAACGGCUACCACAUCCAAGGAAGGCAGCAGGCGCGCUAAUUACCCAAUCCUGACACGGGGAGGUAGUGAUAAUAAAUAACAAUACCGAGCUCUAUGAGUCUGGUAAUUGGAAUGAGUACAAUCUAAAUCCCUUAACGAGGAUCUAUUGGAGUUCAAGUCUAGUGCCAGCAGCCGCGGUAAUUCCAGCUCCAAUAUCGUAUAUUUAAGUUGUUGUAGUUAAAAAGGUGGUAGUGGGACUUUGGGAUGGGCCGGACAGUC